GAGUUUACGCUCUACAACCCUUUGUGAACAUACCUAUAACUGUUGCUUCGGCGGGUAGGGUCUCCGUGACCCUCCCGGCCUCCCGCCCCCGGGCGGGUCGGCGCCCGCCGGAGGAUAACCAAACUCUGAUUUAACGACGUUUCUUCUGAGUGGUACAAGCAAAUAAUCAAAACUUUUAACAACGGAUCUCUUGGUUCUGGCAUCGAUGAAGAACGCAGCGAAAUGCGAUAAGUAAUGUGAAUUGCAGAAUUCAGUGAAUCAUCGAAUCUUUGAACGCACAUUGCGCCCGCCAGCAUUCUGGCGGGCAUGCCUGUUCGAGCGUCAUUUCAACCCUCAAGCUCUGCUUGGUGUUGGGGCCCUACAGCUGAUGUAGGCCCUCAAAGGUAGUGGCGGACCCUCCCGGAGCCUCCUUUGCGUAGUAACUUUACGUCUCGCACUGGGAUCCGGAGGGACUCUUGCCGUAAAACCCCCCAAUUUUCCAAAGGUUGACCUCGGAUCAGGUAGGAAUACCCGCUGAACUUAAGCAUAUCAAUAAGCGGAGGAAAAGAAACCAACAGGGAUUGCCUCAGUAACGGCGAGUGAAGCGGCAACAGCUCAAAUUUGAAAUCUGGCCCUAGGCCCGAGUUGUAAUUUGCAGAGGAUGCUUUUGGUGCGGUGCCUUCCAAGUUCCCUAGAACGGGACGCCAGAGAGGGUGAGAGCCCCGUACAGUUGGACACCAAGCCUUUGUAAAGCUCCUUCGACGAGUCGAGUAGUUUGGGAAUGCUGCUCAAAAUGGGAGGUAUAUUUCUUCUAAAGCUAAAUACCGGNCAGAGACCGAUAGCGCACAAGUAGAGUGAUCGAAAGAUGAAAAGCACUUUGAAAAGAGGGUUAAACAGCACGUGA
rnacentral:rRNA from 1 species